AAUCCUCCAACCCGGGUUCGAGUCCCGGCGAGACCUUUUAUAUAUAAAAAUAAAUUAAUUUUAAAAUAAAAA